CCACAUUUUCGUAGCUAAGGCUCCUAUUUGCCUUCUUUGAGCCUCUACCAGUACUGGCAGUUCUGCCCAUGGGGAAAACUCUGCGGGACCCCGCCACUGUAGCCCUUGCACUGUUAAGAGGAGUCAAAGAGGUUGGAGUUGCUGGCAAAACUCAGAGUGCUGACCAGGCAUAAGGAGCCAUCAGUUCUAUUCUUCUUAUUUUCUGAUUUUUGACAAAGAAAAUCAGUUCUAUUCUUAAAAGUUGUUGGAAACCAAGGCAUACAUCAGCAUUUUUUUUUUCUGCAAUCAAUGUCUUCAGCUUCUGAACACUGUGGUGUUCUUGGACAUCAUUUUUCAUAGUCUUCUGGUAUGUAGGUGGGAAAAUACAAAGAUCAAAGUUUCUACGGUCUUCGUGAGAGGAGAAAAGGAAGCAGAAUAGGAAUGUUGGCCAGACUUUCCCAGGAUUCCCAGAACAAAGAAAAUAUGAAGAUUAUUAUAUUUCAGAAGAACAUAAAUGCUUGGAAACUUGGAUUGUGUGGGAUUUCUUUUAAGCAUCCGGCCCCAUUUGGUGCUCAACCUGUAGAGAAAUGACUGCUGAACUUGCCUAAAGAAUCCAUAAGGGAGGAAGAGAGCAGAGUCAGAGAUACGGCAUGGAUCCACCAGAGACAGAUGCUCGGAAUUUUGCCUGGAGGAGCCCUAAGCUUGAUGAAUACCCUACAUGUCUACUAGACAACUCAGUAUUGAUCAUGCUGGAUCCUGUUACUUGAUGCUGUUUGUUCAAACUGUGACAAGUGGCUUACUCCAGUAUUUCCUUCUGAGUAGUCAAUAAGAAGAAGAUGAACAUAUUAAAAAUUUUUUCCUGGUACUGUAUAGAUGUCUUGGUUGUUAUGAAUACUGAUAUUCUUCCAGAGGACCAGGGUUCAAAUUCCAGCAUCCACAUGCCAGCUUACAAUUGUCUGUAACUCUAGUCUCAGGGAAUCCAUUGCCCCCUUCUGGCCUGCAUAGGCACCAGGCAGGCAUGUGGUGCACAGAGAAACAUAGGCACAACAGCUCAACACAUACAAAUAGAUAGAUAAAAUUAAAGAAAACAUUUCAAACAUGUACUUCCUUUGUGAAUCUCCUUUACACAACAAUCUAAGUCUGCCCAGUUGUGAAUUCAGAGCACUGGAUUAGAGCUGGGCCCUGCAGGAAAUGAACCCAUAGAGUUGUUAGUUAGCCUUGGAGGUAGGGAAAGAAGAGAAAUGAGUCCUAAGAACAGAUGUGUCCUGACACAAACAGAAUACCCAAUGAGCAGAUGUUUGUCUAUGCUGGGAAAGCACAUGGGUCUCUCUUGAAGAAGAGAUAUAGAUUGCUGGGGCCUAAUUCAAGACACUUUCUUACAGAAGUCUCCACAACUGAUUACACUUUUGGAUAUCUUGCUUUCAGCUUUCAAUUUGUCACUGAUCCUUGGAUAGUUCAUCACAGGUAUAUCCAGAUCAGGACAGGUUUUCUUCAUUGAGCCUGGAGUUUUAAGUCUUCCAUUAGGUGGUGAUAAGUGGGCAUGAACAGUAUGAUACUUUAACACAACACACUUGACUCUCAAGUCUCAGCUUUUCCCUGUCACCCCAGGUUUUCCUCAUCUUAGCAGAUGUCUCUCUAUUCAAGCAGUGGUUCUUGUAGGAAGCUGGGAUUUAUUCAGGGUUGCUUCCUCUUCUUCCUCAUAUCUAUUUAUUAGUAAAUAUACUUGACCUUAUUGUCUAAAUAUAUUCACAUUUAUCCACUUUUACUGCUCCUG